CACGUAGGCGGAUCGUUAAGUCGGGGGUGAAAUCCCAGAGCUCAACUCUGGAACUGCCUUCGAUACUGGCGAUCUUCGAGUCCGGGAGAGGUGAGUGGAACUCCGAGUGUAGAGGUGAAAUUCGUAGAUAUUCGGAAGAACACCAGUGGCGAAGGCGGCUCACUGGCCCGGUACUGACGCUGAGGUGCGAAAGCGUGGGAGCAAACA
rnacentral:rRNA from 1 species